AAUCAACAGAGAUUCAUGAAUGAAACCGGGGAUGCAGUAAAGAGGUUCUCUGACCAAUUAUCCGCCACCUCCCUCAUGACCUGAUAAAAUAGACUGACUCUCGAUAUGUUACUGGUAAAAGAGGAUGGUGUAGGUAGAAUGAUUAGGUUCAUUGCUGUACAUACAUUCCUGAUAACACAGCUCAUGUUUGGGAAAUGGAAAAGUGUUGUAAGAACUGUAUUAUGGGCUGCUUUCACCUGUAUGAGUGUGUUUGCGUUGUGUGGUUGUUGUUUGGUCCCUUGUGCGAGAGGUCUCAUUUCCAGAACUCUAGAGAGAUCGAUAACGGAGCAGAUGGUGAGAUAAGGACCGAGUCAAAGUUCAGACCAGUGGGACGACAAAUACCUACCGCCAAGCCUGGUGGAGGAUUUAUUAAAUUAUGAGGAGCCCAUGAUAAGAUGAGACUAUCUUUAGAGUUUCCUGAAUUAGUUUGAUUUUGUGUGAAAAUUUCUGAAUCCAAUAAAAAUAGAUGUGUUAUAAUGUAUGUGAAAUAUUUAGCCAAUCGGGUGGAUGUAAUGAAAGGUUAGACUAAAAGAUUUCACUCAGAAACCUUACAACCUGUUGAAAUGUAUUUGAAAUACAGCUAUAAUAAUGGGUUAAAAACUAUAUUCCAAUACUGUGUGAGUAAGACACUGUUACCAGAAUCAGCAGGGCAGAGUUGAUAAGACGACCUUGAGAAGGGAACAGGAGAAGAAGCCUCCCUAAAUUAGGGAGAGUAACAACGGCCUGGGAACGGCUAGUGGGCAGGAGAUUAGAAGACAGGUGGCAAGGUUGUUAAGGAAUGUAUGUGUACUGUGGGAAAAAUACAGCCGCCUAAAGCUGGGUUGAGUUCUUUACUGAUGUGUGUGUAACAGAGAUUUGUUAACUAUACUCGCACUGCACUGACAGGUAUGGCUGAGCAACUAGAGGCUACCACUAGAACCGCUAGACAAAAUAGAUUGGAGUUGGAUAUGAUAUUGGCUAAUAAUGGGGGGUGUAUAAAACGUUUGGUGAACAAUGCUGUACUUUUAUCCCUAAUAACACCAGCCCUAUGGUAGCAUUACCAAAGCCCUACUGGGACUUGACAAGCUAUCUGCUGAAAUGAAGGGUGUAGCGGGGGUAUACGAGGAGAAUUGGCUGAAUACCUUUUUUGAAGUUGUCAGAGCAACCGGAAUGAUGUCUUUGAUGGAAGUGACCCCAGUGGAUACUGAAUCAACCUCUGGGCAAAAGACGGGUCUGUCUGAGGAUGAUCCUUGGUUUACUGUUGAGGAAGUGGUCGAAUAAACCUUAUCUAAAAUGUACUCAUAUGUAAUGUAGUGGCAGGUGGAUGUGAAGGUUUUAAGUACUGGGACAAAAAGUCUGUCCCAUACAUGUUAGGUGUAGCCACUGUCGCAGGAAGGUCUUAUUUUUCUAAGUUUUUUAAUUAGUAUGUUCUGAAUGAAUCCUGUGUACUAUUUGUCUUUCCUUAUGUGAAGGUUUGAAGUUCCUGGGUGGCUGGUAGUCAACCUAGUACAAGUGAGGUGUAGCCGGAAGGACUUGAGGGUUUUUUAAACUAAUCAUUUAAUCAUUAAAAUGUGAAUUUAUAAUUGUGUUGAGUGACACCCUAGGGGGUGUCAAAAGGGGGAAUCUCAAAAUUUCCCUGAAAUUUUAAGAAAUUAUGUAUUCACACCUAUCAGGUGUGAAAAGGGGGAUUGUUAGGGUUUGACCAACUAUUUGUUUGCAUAACCUAUAUAAUAUAACAAAGAAGCUAUGCUAUAAUAUUAAGUUUAUACUCUAUAUGAUAAGAGCAUACUGCUGUGUGAGAGGAAGGGGCUCAUGGGAUGUUGAGUCAUAUGGAAAGAAUGCAGAUGCUGUAAAUCAGGGAUAUGGAAGAGCUUGUUAAAAGAUAAGGGCAGGAUAUGGGUGAAAUGUAUAUGCAGAGGGGUGUCGGGGUUUUAGAGAACUGUGCAUUGUGCAGUCACAAGAUAAAUCGACUGCCAAAGAUAAUAACUACGCCCGGCAACAGGAGGCGUCUCGAAGUUGGGACCAACCUGCACGCCAACGAUAGGAUGAGUAAGUUUAAACCACGCUCAUCCUCCCUCUGACAGGCCAGCAGUGAGCGGGAACUAUCUCUGUCAGAGUAUUUAAUGAAAAGCAAAGGAUGUGUAACUCAGUUCUCUGUUUGCCCUGCGUGGUGACACAGCGACCCCGUAUAUACUAACCACAUAUUUACCAUUCAAGUGUUUGCAUUAAUUAAAGUACAAAGAAAUCAGAA
rnacentral:lncRNA from 1 species